rnacentral:rRNA from 1 species
GACGAACGCUAGCGGCGUGCUUAACACAUGCAAGUCGAACGGUAAGGCCCUUCGGGGUACACGAGUGGCGAACGGGUGAGUAACACGUGGGUGAUCUGCCCUGCACUUCGGAAUAAGCCUGGGAAACUGGGUCUAAUACCGGAUAGGACCCUGGGAUGCAUGUCCUGGGGUGGAAAGCUUUUGCGGUGUGGGAUGGGCCCGCGGCCUAUCAGCUUGUUGGUGGGGUGAUGGCCUACCAAGGCGACGAGGGGUAGCCGGCCUGGGAGGGUGACCGGCCACACUGGGACUGGGAUACGGACCAGACUCCUACGGGAGGCAGCAGUGGGGAAUAUUGCAGAAUGGGCGCAAGCCUGAUGCAGCGACGCCGCGUGAGGGAUGACGGCCUUCGGGUUGUAAACCUCUUUCAGCACCGACGAAGCGCAAGUGACGGUAGGUGCAGAAGAAGGACCGGCCAACUACGUGCCAGCCGCCGCCGUAA